CCUACGGGAGGCAGCAGUGNGGAAUACUGCGCAAUGGANGAAACUCUGACGCAGCCAUGCCGCGUGCAGGAAGACGGCCCUACGGGUUGUAAACUGCUUUUAUAUAGGAAGAAACCCCGAUACGUGUAUCGGCUUGACGGUACUAUAUGAAUAAGGACCGGCUAACUCCGUGCCAGCAGCCGCGGUAAUACGGAGGGUCCAAGCGUUAUCCGGAUUUAUUAGGUUUAAAGGGUCCGCAGGCGGGAUUUUAAGUCAGUGGUGAAAGCCUACAGCUCAACUGUAGAACUGCCAUUGAUACUGAUAUCCUUGAGUGUGGUUGAAGUGGGCGGAACAUGUCAUGUAGCGGUGAAAUGCAUAGAUAUGACAUAGAACACCAAUUGCGAAGGCAGCUCACUAAGCCAUUACUGACGCUGAGGGACGAAAGCGUGGGGAGCGAACAGGAUUAGAUACCCUGGUAGUCCACGCCGUAAACGAUGAUCACUCGUUGCUAGAGAUACACUGUUAGUGACCAAGCGAAAGUGUUAAGUGAUCCACCUGGGAAGUACGUUCGCAAGAAUGAAACUCAAAMGAAUUGACGG
rnacentral:rRNA from 1 species